rnacentral:rRNA from 1 species
UGAUUACAUGCAUUAGGGAUUGUGGAGGGGGGAAGGGGGGUGUUGCGAGCCUGGCGGUGUUGAAGAUGAGGCCUGCGUCCGAUUAGCUAGUUUGUUAGGGUAAAAGCUUACGCAAGGCGAUGAUCGGUAGCUGGUCUGAGAGGAUGAUCAGCCACACUGGGACUUGAGGACACGGUCGCAGACUCCUACGGGAGGCAGCAGUGGGGAAUAUUGGACAAUGGGGGCAAGCCUGAUGCAGCGAUGCCGCGUGUGUGAUGAAGGCCUUAGGGUGGUAGAGCACUUUCAGUUGGGUGAAGCAAGUUAUACUGGCUUUGCGAUAGGCUGCAGUGAGGUAUGACGGUACCCGCUAGUAAUAAGCACCC